AGCUUUGCGCAGUGGCAGUAUCAUAGCCAAUGAGGUUUGUCUGAGGCGCGAUUAUUGCUAAAAAAAUAAAAUAAAAUAAA
rfam:Myotis davidii contig124377, whole genome shotgun sequence.